CGUUGUAUUUAAUUUAUAAUUUUUUUUUAAAUCUAAUAAUUACUGCUGCUCCAAUUGUAUGGGACUGUUGCCAAGUUAAUCCCUCCAAUAAUUGAAUAACAAUGUCAUUUCAACAGCACCAAUCACAUGGGGAAGUUUGCGGACGACACAACUCUGGUGGGACUCAUCACCAAGGACGACGAGAGCCACUGCAGGAAGGAGUCAACCUUCUGACCACGUGGUGCAGAGACAACAACCUUCUACUGAAUGUCAGCAAAACCAAAGAGAUUGUUGUUGACUUUCGGAGAUGGCACAACGAACACCCACCACUGACCAUCGAUGGUGCUGCUGUGGAGAGAGUGAGCAGCACCAAAUUCCUGGGGGUGCACAUCAGUGAAGACCUCUCCUGGACCACCAACACUGCAUCACUGGCAAAGAAAGCACAGCGGCACAUUCUACCGGGACACCAUUGAGAGCAUCCUGUCCAGUUGCAUCACUGUGUGGGGCGGGAGCUGCACUGACUACUACAGGAGAGCCCUGCAACACAUAGUGAACACAGCUGGAAAGAUCAUGGGUGCCCCAUGAUCUUUCCAGCAACUUUGUUACUUACUUGCUGACUUUUAAAUAAACUUGCCAAUAAAACGGUCAACCUCCCUAUAAAAGAGGGGGAUACAGUACAGUAGAGGUAUGAGUGUAGGAUAAUAUCCCUCCAAUAAUUGAAUAACAAUGUAAUUUAUAAAACGAUGGCUCACUUUUAAAGGCAGAGUGUCUGAUUGGUGCGACAGUAACACAGCAGCAUGUUCAGUUUAACAUUCUAAUUUUUAUGUCAUCUUUAAUAUCAAAAUCCAAAUCUUAUCUAUUAAGAUGUAAGAUACAGUAGUUUCCUGGUCGAACAACAAUUGUAUUUCCACACAAACAUUUAUUUGCUGUUUUCCAUUGGAUAUUGUCCUACACCAUUUGUAUUAACUUGAAUGUAAUCGAUUUAAACAAUAUUGCACAUUUGUAGAAUUCAAAUAUUAUCUAAAUACAUAAAUAAAUCAUUAAUAAAGUAAUGCUUAUAAUCCACAUUCACUUGCCAGAAAUACCCCACCACUAAACCCUGAGUAAUACUUUUUAAAGUUUGAAAAGCUGUAGUUUCCUUUUUCCAGUGUUUUAGUUAAUCACCUGCUCUUCACAGCCCACUUCAGUGUUUUUUUGUUGGUCACAACUCCUUCAUCAG